ACGGGUGAGUAACACGUAUCCAACCUGCCGUCUACUCUUGGACAGCCUUCUGAAAGGAAGAUUAAUCCAGGAUGGCAUCAUGAGUUCACAUGUCCGCAUGAUUAAAGGUAUUUUCCGGUAGACGAUGGGGAUGCGUUCCAUUAGAUAGUAGGCGGGGUAACGGCCCACCUAGUCAACGAUGGAUAGGGGUUCUGAGAGGAAGGUCCCCCACAUUGGAACUGAGACACGGUCCAA
rnacentral:rRNA from 1 species